UACGUAGGGUGCAAGCGUUGUCCGGAAUUAUUGGGCGUAAAGGGCUCGUAGGCGGUCCAUCGCGUCGGGAGUGAAAAGCUGGGGCUUAACCCCAGUCCUGCUUCCGAUACGGGUGGACUAGAGGUAGGUAGGGGAGAACGGAAUUCCUGGUGUAGCGGUGAAAUGCGCAGAUAUCAGGAGGAACACCGGUGGCGAAGGCGGUUCUCUGGGCCUUACCUGACGCUGAGGUGCGAAAGCGUGGGGAGCAAACAGG
rnacentral:rRNA from 1 species